rnacentral:rRNA from 1 species
AGAGUUUGAUCCUGGCUCAGGAUGAACGCUAGCGGCAGGCCUAACACAUGCAAGUCGAGGGGUAACAGGGAGUGCUUGCACUCUGCUGACGACCGGCGCACGGGUGAGUAACGCGUAUACAAUCUACCUUGUACUAGGGGAUAGCCUUUAGAAAUGAAGAUUAAUACCCUAUGGUAUGUAUUUGUGGCAUCACAGAUACAUUAAAGGUUACGGUAUAAGAUGAGUAUGCGUCCUAUUAGUUUGUUGGUAAGGUAACGGCUUACCAAGACUACGAUAGGUAGGGGCCCUGAGAGGGGGAUCCCCCACACUGGUACUGAGACACGGACCAGACUCCUACGGGAGGCAGCAGUGAGGAAUAUUGGACAAUGGGCGAGAGCCUGAUCCAGCCAUGCCGCGUGCAGGAAGACGGCCCUAUGGGUUGUAAACUGCUUUUAUACAGGAAGAAACACUCCCUCGUGAGGGAGCUUGACGGUACUGUAAGAAUAAGGACCGGCUAACUCCGUGCCAGCAGCCGCGGUAAUACGGAGGGUCCGAGCGUUAUCCGGAAUUAUUGGGUUUAAAGGGUCCGUAGGCGGGCAGCUAAGUCAGUGGUGAAAGUCUGCAGCUCAACUGUAGAAUUGCCAUUGAUACUGGUUGUCUUGAAUUAUUAUGAAGUGGUUAGAAUAUGUAGUGUAGCGGUGAAAUGCAUAGAUAUUACAU